UAGGGAAGUCUUCCACAAUGGGCGAAAGACCUGAUGGAGCAACGCCGCGUGUGUGAUGAAGGGUUUCGGCUCGUAAAACACUGUUGUAAGAGAAGAAUGACAUUGAGAGUAACUGUUCAAUGUGUGACGGUAUCUUACCAGAAAGGAACGGCUAAAUACGUGCUAG
rnacentral:rRNA from 1 species